UACGGAGGAUGCGAGCGUUAUCCGGAUUUAUUGGGUUUAAAGGGUGCGUAGGCGGAUCGUUAAGUCACUGGUCAAAUUGAGGGGCUCAACCCCUUCCCGCCAUUGAAACUGGCGAUCUUGAGUGGAAGAGAAGUAUGCGGAAUGCGUGGUGUAGCGGUGAAAUGCAUAGAUAUCACGCAGAACCCCGAUUGCGAAGGCAGCAUGCCGGCUUCCUACUGACGCUGAAGCACGAAAGCGUGGGGAUCGAACAGG
rnacentral:rRNA from 1 species